AAAAAAAAACUUUUUUGCUGCUGUGAUUGGAAUUUACCUGUGUGUUCCCACCAUCAGUCAUAUGUAUGUGACAUUUUGUGAGCAAUGGAAAGGAGUUUGGGCAACACACUUUCUUGCAUGAUAUCUUUGUUGGCUUUCAGAGAGUUAAUGAAGGGCACCUCUAGGAAAUGGCAGCUAUCUUGGCUAUAUCCCUGUUGAGAGGACUUUUCUUCCUGGCUACUUUUCAGUUUGUUACCACAAUUAGAUUUGCAUUACUAUCUACUUUCUUUCUCUUGACAAUCUCUUAGGUAUAUGAUAAUGGAACGUUCUUGUUCAAAUUUUGGAUGCAAAAUAUCUUUGCCUUUUUUGUGUUAUUGACAGCACAAACCUAGGGGAUGUUAUUGGGCUGUUACACAAAUACAGUUCAAGUUGACUAUUGCAGGCCACACUGCAGUACAAUAGAAUACAAUAAAACAAUCAAUCAUAUGUAGACCAUAAACUCUGCGGUCUCCGUAGCCCCUCAGUCUGCCUCAGCAGUGCUAAAGACUCACUAGGACAUCAUGAAAGGUUAUCGAAGGCAGCACUGCCACUGGAAAGCACUUUUUUCUGCAGGCUGCUGAGGACUAACGGUCACAGAUGAAUUCAUCAGGGGCAUUUCCACAUGGCAUCCACAGCCAUCAGAAAGGCAGCAGCAGGGAACAGCUGAGGAGCUUAUUUCAGAUUCUUUCACAGUUAUGAUGGUCCGUGGUCUUAUGUGCUGUGGAAAUAGAAACAGUGAUUUAAAUCUUGGUAAAAUCUUAAAGAAAAACAAGCAGACAUUUUCAAUUUCUAUCUGAGCUGUUGGCUUGCUGCUGACCACUGCUUACAGAUAUUACAGCAGAACUGCUGUGGUUUUGCUGCGCACUUGGUGACAGUGGCCGGAGCGCUCAGGUGCUCACUGCCAAAGUAGAGCACAUGCAGCUGAUUCCUCAGCCUCAUCUUUCCCAUGGUCUGCGAUCAAUCCAUAACCCUAGCUGCUGUCAAAAUUGUCAUUCCCCACCAGAUGCCCUAAGUUCCUACUGCUCCCCGCUGGUACUGCUGCCCCUGUUGUCUCUCCGUCCAAAGAGUUUCAGAACAAGAGACAAGCUUUUAUGGAGCCUGGCAAAGCUUCAGAAGGGAAAAGGAAAAAUCGAUACUGCUUCAAAGCCAAGUAUUUGCUUCAGUGAAUAUGACAUUUGCCCUUUCUUCACUAGGGGGAAAAACAACAAGGACACUUAGGCCGGCAAUGGAAAUAGAAUGAACAACAGAGAGACCUUCCAGAUUUGACAUGUAAAGGGAAAUAACUUUGUAGUUAUUGUCCCUGUUUGGUGACAUCAAAAACAGGUGUAGAGUGUAAGGCGGUGCAGGCUGAGAAUGAAGUGGAAAGUAACACAAAGUCAAAGAGAAGAGUUGAAGGAAUUUGGAACAAGUGAUAAUGGACUUGGCUGAAAAGAUGGAGAAUGAAAGACACUGCGCAAAGGUGAAGUCCAUUGUUGUACAAUCAAAUUAACUAUUAAAUGUCAGCUGCAAAGGUGCGCCAUAAUAUUAAAAGGACCUUCCAGUAAGUUUUACACCAUUUUGACAGCUUUACAGCUACUGAAAAUGUCCAUAGAACCUCACAGUUUGCUAAUGAAAGGCCUCUCCGUAAGGAUGAAGCAGUUCAGAAACUUUGAAAGAGAAGCUGGGAAUACCAAUUAAAGAAAUGCAAAAUCAAAACAAGCUUGAAAAACACUCAUAUUUUUGGAGGAUUAAAAAAGAAUUAAACUACAUAUAAGCCUUAGAAGCCUGCUCUAAUUCUUUUUGACAUCCAGGUUUUCAUUAAUUUAAUUCUACAGCUGGUUAUAACUCCCUGAUUCCAUUCUAUUUUGACUAUGCCAAUCCUAAGCUAGUUUUCCAAGUUGUGUUUUUAGAUGUUUCUAAUUUGUGUCAUUCACUAUAUGGAAUUUUAUGGACCUGUUUGCUACUGAAAUAAGAUUCGUCAUUUAAAUGUUGUGUCAUUGCUCAAAAAUAUUUUUUUCCUUAUGUGAAGCUGUGCCUUCAGCUGCUACCAGCAGGGUUAAUUUGCAGCACCUAAAAUCCCUGCUGAGUGGGUCAGCUGCUGCUGUUGCAGUCAGGAAACGGAGCAGGCAUCAUCCUUGGUGAAUCAAAUAGCAUGACUUCUGAGGAGCAUAGGUGUAGUGCAGCAGGACAGUCAUGUACUCAUACUCUGACCCCUGUACUGCUGCUGGGUGAGAGUUCUGCAGCUACAGAAUCAAUAAAAAUGUAUUGAUUUCUCUGUACUGUCA
rnacentral:lncRNA from 1 species